GGAUGUGAGGGUGAUCUGGCUGCGACAUCUGUCACCCCAUUGAUUGCCAGGGUUGAUUCGGCUGAUCUGGCUGGCUAGGCGGGUGUCCCCUUCCUCCCUCACCGCUCCAUGUGCGUCCCUCCCGAAACUGUGCGCUCGGUCGAAGAGGACGACCAUCCCCGAUAGAGGAGGACCGGUCUUCGGUCAAGGGUAUACGAGUAGCUGCGCUCCCCUGCUAGAACCUCCAAACAAGCUCUCAAGGUCCAUUUGUAGGAGAACGUAGGGUAGUCAUCCCAUCACCCUUUGCUCUCUUUUCGGACUCGGCCCGCCUGCACCC
rfam:Gorilla gorilla gorilla genomic chromosome, chr22, whole genome shotgun sequence